rfam:Candidatus Pacearchaeota archaeon CG1_02_32_21 cg1_0.2_scaffold_728_c, whole genome shotgun sequence.
AGCCCUGUAGGAUAGCGGUCAAGUCUACGAGCCUUUGGAGCUUGUGACCCAGGUUCGAAUCCUGGCAGGGCUA